ensembl:snRNA U6 U6 spliceosomal RNA
AUGCUUGCUCUGACAAUAUGUAUUUUAAAACUGUAACAAUAUAGAGAAAAUUAACAUGGUCUCCAUCUGAGGAUGACACACCUUGUAAUCAGUCUUUCCAUAUUUCC